AGAGCGAACGCUGGCGGCAGGCCUAACACAUGCAAGUCGAGCGCCCCGCAAGGGGAGCGGCAGACGGGAGAGUAACACGUGGGAACGUACCCUUCAGUUCGGAACAACCCAGGGAAACUUGGGCUAAUACCGGAUACGUCCGUAAGGAGAAAGAUUUAUCGCUGAAGGAUCGGCCCGCGUCUGAUUAGCUUGUUGGUGAGGUAACGGCUCACCAAGGCUACGAUCAGUAGCUGGUCUGAGAGGAUGACCAGCAUCACUGGGACUGAGACACGGCCCAGACUCCUACGGGAGGCAGCAGUGGGGAAUAUUGGACAAUGGGCGCAAGCCUGAUCCAGCCAUGCCGCGUGGAUGAUGAAGGCCUUAGGGUUGUAAAGUCCUUUUAACGGGGAAGAUAAUGACGGUACCCAUAGAAUAAGCCCGGCUAACUUCGUGCCAGCAGCCGC
rnacentral:rRNA from 1 species